rnacentral:lncRNA from 1 species
AAAAUACACAGAAGAGAAGAGGAGAGAGAACAUGAUAGUUGUACUACAAGAUUUCAGUUUCGUAAAUACCACAGAGCUUCCAUUCCUCCUACACCAAGUCCACACAGAUCGACACCACAAGCCCUCAUCCUCCGCUGCCCAUCUGCCAAAGCAAACAAGAACACACAAGACAGUUCAGGCAGGCAUGGAUGCAGAGUUCACCUGAGUUGGGAGGGACUGACUAGCCAACCAUGCAAAUGCAAGCAGGGCGGAGAAUUAGUAGCCGAUGUCGGCGCCGUCGUCGACCAAGGUCGCCGUUGAUGCCGGGGAUAGGUAUCGAUCACACGGUGUUAUGGGCCCUGGUCAAGAUCGCAGGAGGAGACGCUUCAAUCUGGCGAGAUCCCGGCUCUCGUUGCUGCUCUCUCGGAGGUGGAUCUCAUCUGGGAUAAUAUAUAUGGCAGAAUUUCCAAGGAAAUGCACGGUUGCCUUGUCGGCUGAGUGUAACUUCCAGGUCGCAACCUUUGUACGAGCAGCCGAAUGAGCAGGAACGAGUACACAUCACAUUUUAUUGACUCAUGCGUGGGUGGUGUAAACAACGGAAAUGAUUUGCGUACGACGAUGCAUGUCCGAAGCACGUACGACGAUGCAUCCGCAUCGUGAGCUAGCUAACCCGUUGAAAGACAUACGGCUUGAUUUGAUGGUCGUACGUGGUUCGGAUGAGAAUCGUCGUACGUGUAGCACUGCUCAGUCUUGGGUGGUGUAAACAAAGUCUUCUUAGGGUAUGUACAAUGGUUGAUAAGAUAGUUUUAUUUCAAGUUUUACAUGUAAUUUAUAGAUGAUAAAAAAAGUCUUACAAUGAAUCACCUCUUAAUUGUUCUCUCUUAAAUAAGAAAAGACAAAUUUUUUUUAUGAGUUAUCUUUCCUCCACCUCAUCAUUUAUCUUACAUGACACUACUAAGAUAGCAUCAUUGUACAUGUCCUUAUGUGACAGGAAAAAAAAACCAACAGCCCUACCAGGAAAUAAAACAAACGUGUGAAGCACGUGUUGUGCAUGAGAGUGAUUUUGUUUUCUUAACUCAUGCCUUUUGGUUUAUUGCACUAUCUUUCUUUUAACACGCAAGCGUUUAUAUACACGUACAUAGACUGAGCCGGCAUAUCAUGAAAUUUAUGAAUAAAUUCAGAAAUAAAUGCGAACAUCAGGAUUUAAACCCUGAUGAGCUAUGAAUAUCACAAUCUCUCUAACCAUCCAACCACAGACUGGUUCGCAUUGUACUCUUCGUCGUACUAUCUUUUCAAUGUGUUACUUGUUGUCCUUAAUAAUUAUCAUAUCUAAGAUGCCCUUUGGGUGUGUUUCGUACUAUGAAAAAGGGUCCUGCAUGGAUAGAGAGAGCGUGUGCUGACGAGACAGCAUAAAAUGUUUCACCAGUUAGUUAAUAGAGUGUCACAUAAAUAAAAUACAUAGUCCGGGUAGGAAAAAUACUCCACGAUGCUUGAGUGCCCUUGACCAAAGCCUAGCGCCCUCGAUCGCCCCAUCCUUUCCUCCCUGGCUACUACCUCAGAUCACCGCCAAUCCGCAUGACUUCCAAGGACGACAGCGGCGAAGCUCCCUCCUUGAGCAACACCUUGGUACUUGUACGCCUCUUCCUACUGAGCGACGUCGUUGUGCUCUCCGUUGGUUCCUUGGUGGUUGCGUUUUUCUGUUGCCAUUUUUGUUGGCGAUGCUCCGCCCCUCCUUUGGACGGAGCAUUGCCAGUAUAUGGACUUUUUUUUAGAAUAACUGCAUAUUUUUUAACCAGCAAAUGUUACAAACAUAGCACAUACAUAACAUCGCUGAGAGAGCACGAGAGACCAAAGGUGUCCCAACACAAAUGCAAAAAGGUCUCAAAAAGGAGAAAAUACAAUCUGAACCCCCGGGGGCCUUAAUGCAUGAAGAACCAACACCAGUCGCUGACCGCCGCCAUCGACGACGAGACGAACGGCGAAGGAGGACGCCAGAAACCAUCAAACCCUGAGCCGAGGGCACACCAUCACUGAAAAGGGCUUUCUGAGUCGAAGAUGAGCCCGGUCGCAAACGGUGAGGCAUAGCCGUUGUGGCACGUCGACCGGGGAAAGUCCCCGUGCAAAUCCUCGGCUCCAGUUUCGGCACCUCCGUUGGACGAAGUCGAAGGAGAAUUACCAGAUCUACCGCCACAAACCACCACGAGAGUGUUGAGUCACCAAGUCUCUCGCCAACAGCCGCGGUCACCGCACGGGCCGGUGACCAACGCUGGCCCGAGCACUCCUAUACAAGACUCUGUCGGCUUCCCAUCGACACUGAAGAACGUGUCGAUGUGGCAGAGACGAAGCCGAGGGAACAAAACUCCCGAUGUCCCCUGCUUGACCAAAUCCGAGCACGCCAAGCCUGUCGCCGCACACGUCGGCCAGGCCAAACCUAACCUCACCGCCCAAGACGAGCGGCAGGAAUCUACGCCGAGCAGCGCCCGAGGAAACACCACCGAGACGGAGGCGGAACCGGAGGACAAAAGGCACGAGCUGGGCAGCCGUCGCCGCCUCGUCGACCCAGCCCCACCACCCAGAUAUCGCCAGCCACGCGAAACCUGCGAGCAGACCGAAGCUCCCAGCCUUCUCGCCCACCGCAACGCAUACCACCGCGUUGGGGAGAGAGCAGGGGCACCCUUAUUAGCCGCACUCGCCAUUCCCACCGGAGAUGCGAAAACGACCAGCCACCACCAAGCUACAAAGCCUACCUAGACUACACCUGUACAAGCCAUGCCCCCGGAUCCGACGACCCCAACCUGCACCGAAGAGCAUGAAGUCCCGGGGGAGAUGGCGUCGCCGGAUCCAAAGCCGGCAAAGGAGUCGCCUCUCACUAGUGGAAAACGGGCCUUUGGCCAGGACCCUUUAGUCCCGGCCUGCCUCUGGGCCGGGACUAAAGGCCCGGCCACGUCGCCCCAAUUCUCAAUGCCUCCCUCGAGGCUUUAGUCCCGGCCCGUAAGGAGCCUUUAGUCCCGGUUCAUGUUCCAAACCGGGACUAAAGGGCUACGCGGCGGGUAGUGGUGGUGGCAACCGUUCGUAUCCCCCUUUAGUCCCGGUUGGUGGCUCAACCCGGGACUAAAUCCCUAACCCGUGCCCUGCCGUAGUGGUGGUAACCGUUGGUAUACCUCUUUAGUCCCGGUUGGUGGCUCAACCCGGGACUAAAUCCCUAACACGUGGCCUGCCGUAGUGGUGGUAACCGUUGGUAUACCUCUUUAGUCCCGGUUGGUGGCUCACCCCGGGACUAAAUCCCUAACCCGUGCCCUGCCGUAGUGGUGGUAACCGUUGGUAUACCUCUUUAGUCCCGGUUGGUGGCUCAACCCGGGACUAAAGGCCCAAACGGUUUGCAUCCCGCGUCGUUUCGGGCGAUGAAAAGCACGAACCAAAGCAGAGUCGCCAUUUCUCUGUUUCUUCUUCUCUCUCGCUCUCGCUCUGUUCUUCUCCUCUCUUCUUCCAUCAUGCCAACUCGCUUUGGAGAGGUGCUCGCACAUGGCAAGACCAAGCUCGAUGUCGUGUACACGAACGAGAGCAGGGAGAUGCCGUAUUUUCUUGAACAGUUGAAGGAACGAUGGCUUGACGCCGCAAUGGAUCAUGAGAAGUUCUUGGGGCUUGAUCUGGAGUACACGGCCGAUCAACGCGGUGUUGCCGUCAUCCAACUAUGCUUCGCACACCAUGUCUUGAUCUUCCAAUGGGCGAGGUAAGUUUUGAGGCUUUCUUUGAUCCAAGGUAAUGACAUUGUAAGUUUAUUUGUUUCAAUCAUAGUUGGUUCCCUUCAAAUAGUUGUAGUGAAACAAUUUUGAUUAGUUGAAGGGGAACACAAUCUGAUUGGAAUAGUGUUCCAUAAUCUGAAAAAUCGUAUUAGAAUCAACUAGUGUUUAAUAUGUUCCAUUGGAAUCAUAGUUGGUUCGCUUCAAAUAGUUGUAGUGAAACAAUUUUGAUUAGUUGAAGGGAACACAAUCUGAUUGGAAUAGUGUUUCACAAUCUGAAAAAUCUGAUUGGUUCAAUAUGUUCCAUUGAAAUCAUAGUUGUAGUGAUACAAUUUUAUGCGGUGUUAUUUGAUCCAAGGUUAUGAAAAUUGCAUAUAGCUAGUGAUCUCUCUAGGUUCCAUUUGAUAGCAAUAUGAUAUGUCAUAGUCAUGAAAAUUGCAUAUAGCUAGUGAUCUCUCUAGGUUCCAUUGGAUAGCUAUAGUGAUCUCUCUAGGUUCCAUUGCAUAUGUUCUAUUUGAAUCCUAAAGAUAAUUUUCUCUUUAGUUGUAGUGAAACAUGUUUCCUUAUUGCAGCAGUAUGUAACAUUUUCCAUUUUAAUUUGUUUCUGUUGCAGUAGUGACAAGCAUUGUCCAGAACUCAUGGACUUCCUGCGCAGCGGCAUCACUUUUGCUACCGUUGACAUAACGAACGACAAGCUGAAGAUGAGGUACAGCUUCGGUAUUGAGAUACCAACUGGUUGCCUCAUUGAUCUCCAAACGGUAUUCAGGCUUCGACAUGUCAGGACUUCGAUGGCUCAUAUGGCAGUUGCCUUGAUCGACGAGGAAUAUGGUGAUAUGAAGACCAAUUUUCCCAAAGUCUCAGCACAAACUUUGGGAGAAGGCCCCACUUGAUCGUAUCAACAUUGAGUAUGCAACAAAAGAUGCAUACGUUUCAUACGAGUUGUACCGCAAGAUUCGAGUCGUCAACUAUGGCCAGCGUCACCUCGAAUAAGGUGGACAUUCUGAUUCGAGUCGUCAACUAUGAAAACUAAUUCCCGAACACCAAACGAGGCAUCACGUUAAUCUUCCGAACACCUAAACCCUAAAAUCCUAAAACCCAAAAAUAAUUUCAUUCAAAAAAAACCCAAAAAUAAGCAAAAUCUAAAACUCUUUAGUCCCGGUCCGUGUAACGAGCCGGGACUAAAGGGCCUGCCCCUGAGGCGCUACGAGGCGCCCACGUGGAGCAUCUUUAGUCCCGGCUUGUAACAGGGCCGGGACUAAAGGUUAGGCGUCCCGGUUGGUGAACCGGGACUAAAGUCCCUUACGGGCCGGGGCUAAAGGCCCCGUCUCCACUAGUGUCUGGCAGUAUAUGGACUUGUGGUAACCUUUGUUAGGACUUAGGUGCUCCAUCCCUGUUCCUCACCUCUCACCUGAUUUGGACGCCCACCGGUUUGGUCUGGCCUAGUAUCUUUUUCCAGUCAUUUCUCGGUUAGAUGCGGAAGAUUUGCCGCAUGAUCUAGCGAUUGCAUCUGACGUUUUUCUUGACUGGUGAUUAAAGUUGGUCGUUAAGGUCUUGUUGAACGUACGUGUGGACCAAAAUAUGUUUUUAUCUUUGUGACAAGUACAAUGACCGCUGUUGUAUUUAUCUCUCAUCUCAACCCUCAACUAAAUUCUAUGUGAAUUCCUAGUAUCUCUUGCAAUCCCUGGUAUCCAUCAAUUGGUUCUGUCGCGCUCCUAAGUUCUCCUUCCCUCUCCGAUCAUAUAUCUCUUUAGUCGAAUCAUGGCAAGGUCAUGUCAAGACCCAAAUGUUUUUUCAAAAAGAUAGUAUAAACACACACACUCACAUCCAUGAACGCACAUACGCACGUUCUAUUCCUAUAAGCACAUUUGAAAGGCUGAGCCGGCGGAUGUUAAGAUUGACAAAGUCACAACAAACGUCACAUCACUCUAUGGACAGAAACAUUGCCUCCCAUUGAGAGUACAUUUCGCGUUUAUCACACACCAAAGCAUCAACAUUUAAUUCCUUGUGUUAGGAAUUAAUUAAAUGUAUUAAUUAAUGGAAUAAUCCAUGCGUUGCCGGUUGCCUUGAUUUAGCAACCGUUCCUUGUAACCGACUCUGUACUCGGGGUAUAAAUACCCCGCAUCUUCAAUCAAUAAUAAUUGUUCCAUCAUUCUGUCACUUUCACUGUUUUACACGUUAUCAGCACUCGCUCUGCCGAGAGCGACAGAGAGCCACGAGAAAGGUCAGAAUGGCAGGAAGAGAGUUGUCUGCACUUGCUUUUGCUUUCGCACGCUUCCUGCAGAAAGAGAACACCCGCUUCCCUCGCACUCAGCGCCACCGCAUUGCACGUCGCCAUCAGGGUCUUGGUGCAAGGAAUGGCCCUCAUCGCCGUUCCUUCACCAGGAACCACCGCCAGAACCGGAGUGGCCCUCAUCGCCGCUUCUUCGCCGGGAACCACCGCCAGAACCACCGCCGUGGGUAUGCACGUCGAGGCAACCAACCACUUCGUGGGCGUGCACCAACGGUGCACCAGGCUGGAUCCUCGACUCCGGCCACCGCUCCACUACAACAGGCUGGUGUUGUAGAUAUGCCCUAGAGGCAAUAAUAAAUUAGUUAUUAUUAUAUUUCUUAGNNNNNNNNNNNNNNNNNNNNNNNNNNNNNNNNNNNNNNNNNNNNNNNNNNNNNNNNNNNNNNNNNNNNNNNNNNNNNNNNNNNNNNNNNNNNNNNNNNNNUGGAUAAUAAACUAUUAUCUUGAUACAGGAAUUAUAAUAAUAACUAUGCAUUUAUUAUUGCCUCUAGGGCAUAAUUCCAACAGUGCCUUCUAGUUGCACUGUCUGUACCCAGACAGUUUAUAACUCUUCCGCUGGCUUGUAUUUGUAUGACUGCUAUUAUGGGUCGAGAGACCUUAAUGUGUAAUAUUAUGUGUGUGGCUCUUNNNNNNNNNNNNNNNNNNNNNNNNNNNNNCUUCCGAGCCUCUUAAAUAAAGCUUGUAUGUUUAUGGUUAUGUUGUGAUGCCAUCGAUGUAUCUAUACAUAUCGGUAUGCCAUGCGUACGUGUGUCUUACUUGGUAUGUAUGGGGUUCGAAUACCUAGUCGUGAACUUUAGUAGCACUCCUUACAAGGAAAUGCCCCUUUGUGAUCCAACGAGCCUUGGUAGUUCGCUACUGCUCCGGACACAUUGGUUGACCGGCAUGUGUCCUUCUUAGCUGCUGUGUCUGUCCCCUUUGGGGAAAUUUCACGCGAUGUAAUGGAGUCCUUGUAGCUUGCUACGACUCGUCUACAUUCGCCGAUGACCGACACCUGCUUUGUUGGGUCAUGUAUGCCUGUCCUUGUGCGGUACUGCCACUUUGGUUUAUGACUAGACAUGUCGAUCCGGGUUCUUUGACAUUGGAUUGCUAGCGACACUAUCGCAUACGUGAGUCAAAAGACGCAAACGGUCCCGGCUAAGGUAAGGCUGCAGCCGUGGAGUUAACCGUGCGUGAGACCACAAAGGGAUGCGAUGUGUUACAGGCUAGAUUCCUAUGGCUUAGGAUCGAGGUCCCGACACUUUAAAAUAUCCAUUUGUACUUAACGGUCUUACGACCAUCAAGUAGUUCUUCCAAAGUCUACACUUUGUUUUCAUACAUGGAUCCUCUCUCGGAUUUCAUGGCCUCCAGCCAUUUAUCGGAAUUCGAGCCCACCAUCGCUUCUCCAUAGCUCGUAGGUUCAUUGUUGUUCAACAACAUGACCUCCAAGACAGGGUCACCGUACCACUCUGUAGCAGUACGCGACCUUGUCGACCUACGAGGUUUGUAGUAGCUUGAUCAGAAGCUUAAUGAUCACAAUCAUUAGUUUCCACUUCAAUUUGCGUAGGCGCCACAUGAACAAAUUCCUGCGCCCUGCUACACACUAGUUGAAGUGAUGGUUCAAUAACCUCAUCAAGUUCCACCAUCCUCCCACUCAGUUCUUUCGAGAGAAACUUUUCCUCGAGAAAGGACCCGUUUCUAGAAACAAACACUUUGCUUCCGGAUCUGAGAUAGGAGGUAUACCCAACUAUUUUGGGUGUCCUAUGAAGAUGCGUUUAUCCGCUCUGGGUUCGAGCUUAUCAUGCUGAAACUUUUCCACAUGAGCAUCGCAGCCCCAAACUUUUAAGAAACGACAGCUUAGGUUUCUCCAAACCAUAGUUCAUACGGUGUCAUCUCAACGGAAUUACGUGGUACCCUAUUUAAAGUGAAUGUGGUUGUCUCUAAUGCCUAACCCAAAACGAUAGUGGUAUUUCGAUAAGAGACAUCAUAGUAUGCACCAUAUCAAAUAGGGCGCGGCUAUGACAUUCAGACAAACCAUCACACUAUGGUGUUCUAGGUGGCAUGAACUGCAAAACAAUUUCCACAUUGUCUUAACCGUGUACCAAAACUCGCAGCUCAGAUAUUCAUCUCUAUGAUCAUAUCGUAGACAGUUUAUCCUCUUGUCACGAUGAUCUUCACUCUGGAAUAGCUUUGAACUUUUCAAUAUUUCAGACUUGUGAUUCAUCAAGUAAAUACUCAUGUAUCUACUCAAAUCAUCAGUGAAGUGAGAACAUAACGAUAUCCACUGCGUGCCUUAGCACUCAUUGGACUGCACAUAUCAAAAAUCUAUUGCAUCCAACAAGUUACUUUCUUGUUCCAUGUGGUAUGAUUUUGCAUGUCUCAAGUGAGUUAAAAUCAAGUGAUUCCAAACGAUCCAUCUGCAUGGAGUUUCUUCAUGCGUUUAUACCAACAGGUAUGGUUUCCAUGUCUCAAACGUUUCAAAAAUGAGUGAGUACAAAGAUCCAUAAGCAUGGAGUUUCUUCAUGCAUUUUACACCAACAUGACUCAAGCGGCAGUGCCACAAGUAAGUGGUUCUAUCAUUAUUACUUUGUAUCUUUUGGCACCACUAUUAUGAAUAUGUGUAACACUACGAUCGAGAUUCAAUAAAUCAUUGAAGGUAAUUAUUCAAGAAAAUAGAAUAACCAUUAUUCUCUUUAAAUGAAUAAUCGUAUUGCAAUAAACACGAUCCAAUCAUGUUCAUGCUCAAAGCAAACACCAAAUAACAAUUAUUUAGGUUUAACACCAAUCCCGAUGGUAGAGGGAGCGUGCGAUGUUUUGAUCACAUCAACCUUGGAAACACUUUCAACACGUAUCGUCACCUCGCCUUUAGCUAGUCUCCGUUUAUUUCGUAGCUUUUAUUUCGAGUUACCAAUCACUUAGCAACCGAACCGGUAUCUAAUACCCUCGUGCUACUAGGAGUACUAGUAAAGUACACAUCAAUAUCAUGUAUAUCAAAUAUACUUCUGUUGACUUCGCCAGCCUACUCAUCUACCAAGUAUAUAGGGUAGCUCCGCCUCAGUGACCGUUCACCUCAUAACAAAAGCACUUAAUCUCGGGUUUGGGUUCAAUCUUGGGUUUCUUCAUUAGAGCAGCAACUGGUUUGUCGUUUCAUGAAGUAUCUCUUCUAGCCCUUGCCCUUCUUGAAACUAGUGGUUUUACUAACCAUCAACAAUUGAUGCUCCUUCUUGAUUUCUACUUUCGUAGUGUCAAACAUUGUGAAUCGCUCAAGGAUCAUCAUAUAUAUCCUUGAUAUGUUAUAGUUCAUCACGAAGCUCUAGCAGCUUGGUGGCAGUGACUUUGGAGAACCAUCACUAUCUCAUCUGGAAGAUUAACUCCCACUUGAUUCAAGCGAUUGUUAUACUGAGCACAUGCUCAACGAUUGAGCUUUUCUCCUUUACUUUGUAGACAAAGAAUCUUGUUGGAGGUCUCAUACCUUUCAACAAGGGCACGAGCAUGAAAUCUCAAUUUCAUAUCUUAGAACAUCUUUUAUGUUCCGUGACGUUUCAAAAUGUCUUCGGCGUCUUGCAUCUAAGCCAUUAAGUAUUACGCACUGAACUAUCACGUAGUCAUGAAAAAUGUGUAUGUCAGAUGUUCGCAACAUCCACAGACGACGCUUGAGGUGCAGCACACCGAGUGGUGCAUUAAGGACAUAAGCCUUCUACGCAGCAAUGAGGACAAUCCUCAGUUUUACGUACUCAGUCCGCAAAGUUACUACUAUCAUCUUUCAACUAAAUUUUCUCUAGGAACAUAUAAAAAAACAGUAGAGCUAUAGCGCAAGCUACAUCAUAAUUCGCAAAGACCUUUUGACCAUGCUCAUGAUAAUUAGUUCAAUUAAUCAUAUUACUUAAGAACUCCCACUCAAAAAAUACAUCCCUCUAGUCAUUUCAGUGGUGCAUGAUCCAAAUCCACUAACCCAAGUCCGAUCAUCACGUGAGUUGCGUAUAGUUUCAGUGGUAAACAUCUCUAUGCUAAUCAUAUCAACUAUAUGAUUCAUGCUCGACCUUUCGGUCUCUUGUGUUCCGAGGCCAUGUCUGCACAUGCUAAGCUCGUCAAGUUUAACCCGAGUGUUCCGCGUGUGCAACUGUUUUGCACCCGUUGUAUGCGAACGUUGAGUCUAUCACACCCGAUCAUCACGUGGUGUCUCGAAACGACGAACUGUCGCAACGGUGCAUAGUCGGGGAGAACACAAUUUUAUCUUGAAAUUUUAGUGAAGGAUCACGUUAUAAUGCUACCAUCGUUCUAAGAAAGAUAAGGUGCAUAAAAGGAUUAACAGCACAUGCAAUUCAUAAGUGACAUGAUAUGGCCAUGAUCUUGUGCUUCUUGAUCUCCAUCACCAAAGCACCGACAUGAUCUUCAUCGUCACCGGCACCACACCAUGAUCUCCACCAUCGUGCCGCCAUCGAGGUUGUCGUGCUAUAUACGCUAUCACUACUAAAGCUACAACCUAGCGAUAUAGUAAACGCAUAUGCAAACACAAACGUUAGUUUAAAGACAACCUUAUGGAUCCUGCCAGUUGCCGUAGCAUCGACGUGCAAGUCGAUAUUUAACUAUUACAAAAUGAUCAUCUCAUACAUCCAAUAUAUCACAUCAUGUCUUUGGCCAUAUCACAUCACAUGCAUACCCUGCAAAAACAAGUUAGACAUCCUCUAAUUUGUUGUUGCAUGUUUUACGUGGCUCCUAUGGGUAUCUAGUAUGAUCGCAUCUUACUUACGCAUAGCCACAACGGUAAUAUGCAAAUUGCUAUUUAACCUUUCUCCAAGGACCGCCUCGGUCAAAUCCGAUUCAACUAAAGUUGAAGAAACAGACACCCGCCAGUCAUCUUUAUGCAACAAGUUGCAUGUUAGUCGAUGAAACCGGUCUCUUGUAAGCGUACGAUUAAGGUUGGUUUGGGCCGCUUCAAUCCAACAAUACCGCCGAAUCGAGAAAAUACUAAGGAGGGCAGCAAAUUGAACAUCAAUGCCCACAAAAACUUGUUUGUUCUACUCGAGAUUACAUCUACGCAUGAACCUAGCUCAUGAUGCCACUAUUGGGGAACGUUUCAUGGGAAACUAAAAAAUUCCUACACACACGAAGACCUAUCAUGGUGAUGAUCAUCUACGAGAGGGAGAUCGGGUCCACAUACCCUUGUAGAUCGCUAAGUGGAAAUGUUAAGAAACGUGUAUGAUGUAGUGGUAUGUCUUCACGAUCCGUCCCACGAACCGUCUCACGAUCCGUCCCGAUCAAGUGUUGAACGGACGGCACCUCCGCGUUCCGCACACGUACAGCUCGAUGACGAUCUCCGCCUUCUUGAUCCAGCAAGAGGGGCGGAGAGGUAGAUGAGUUCUCCAGCAUGGCGAUGUGGUGGUGGUGUUGGUGGUGCUAUUCCAGCAGGGCUUCGCCUAAGCACCGCUGAAACUAGAGGAGAAACAGAUCUAGAGAGAGAGGGCAGCACGUGGCUGUUUCUGUUGUCCAAAAACCCUCAAAACCCUUAGUAUAUAUAGGAGGAGAGGAGGGAGAGGGUUGCGCCCUAGAGCAACCUUCUCUUCCCUUGCGCAAGGGAGAGGAGGAGGAGUCCUACUCCAAUCCUAUUUGGAGUAGGAUUCCUCCUUCCCACUUGGAAACUCUUUCCACCUUGUGUUUUUCCUUCUCAAACCUUAUGGGUCUUAGUGGGAACUUAUUCGAGCCCACUAGGGGAUGGUUUAUCUCUUGCCACAGCCCAUAAGGCCUCUUGGGGCGUGACACCCCUCCCGAUGGUCCCCGGCACACCUCCCGGCACUCCCGGUACACUACCGAUGAGCCCGAAACUUUUCCCGUGACCAAAACAGGACUCCCUAUAUAUCAAUCUUCAUUUCCGGACCAUUCUGGAAACCUUCGUGAUGUACGGGAUCUCAUCCGGCACUCUGAACAACCUUCGGUCACCAACACAUAUAACUUAACUAUACCGAAACAUCACCGAACUUUAAGUGUGUAGACCCUGCGGGUUCGAGAACUAUGUAGACAUGACCUGAGACACUCUUCGGUCAAUAACCAACGGCGGGACCUCGAUGUUCAUAUUGGCUCCUACAUAUUCUACGAAUAUCUCUAUCGGUUGAACCUCUAUGUCAAGGAUUAAUAUAAUCCCGUAUACUAUUCCCUUUGUCCUUCGGUAUGUUACUUGCCCGAGAUUCGAUCGUUGGUAUCUCCAUACCGAGUUCAAUCUCGUUACCGGCAAGUCUCUUUACUCGUUCCAUAAUACAAGAUCUCGUGACUAACUCCUUAGUCAUAUUGCUUGCAAGGCUUGUUGUGAUGUUGUAUUACCGAGUGGGCCCCCUAGAUACCACUCCGUCACAUGGAGUGACAAAUCACAGUCUUGAUCCAUGCCAACCUAAUAGACACCUUUGGAGAUACGUGUAGAGCACCUUUAUGGUCACCCAGUUAUGUUGUGACGUUUGAUACACACAAGGCAUUCCUCCGGUGUCCGGGAGUUGUGAUACGUCCAUUUUGCAUCAUGUUUUCAUGUUGAUAUUUAUUGCUUCUUGGGAUGUUAUAUUACUUGUGGUGCCAUAUUUAUGCCUUUUCGCUCUUAUUUUGCAAGGAUUAUUUGAAGAGGGAGAAUUCAGGCAGCUGGAAUUCUGGACUAGAAAAGGAGCAAAUCCUAGUCCACUAUUCUGCACAUCUCCAAAUGCCCUGAAAAUUUUCGUGGAUUUUUUCUAGAAUAUAUUAAAAAUACUGGGCGAAAGAACUACCAGAGGGGGCCACCAGGGCCCCACAAGCUUGCCCACCGCCGCCGCCCCCCUGGUGGCGCACGGCAGGCUUGUGGGCAGCCCACUGGCCCACUAGCCCCCCUCUUUUGCUAUAUGAUGCGUCCUGACCUGGAGAAAAUCAUACAGGAGCUUUUUCGUGGUUUCCCCGCCGCCACAGGGCGGAACUUGAGUAGAUCCAAUCUAGAGCUCCGGCAGGACGAUCUUGUCGGGGAAAUUUCCCUCCCGGAGGGGGGAAUCAUCACCAUCUUCAUCACCAACACUCCUCUCAGCGGAGGGGAGGCAUCUUCAUCAACAUCUUCAUCGGCACCAUCUCUUCUCCAAUCCCUAGUUCAUCUCUUGUAACCAAUCUUCGUCUCGCAACUCAGAUUAGUACUUGUAAGGUUGCUAGUAGUGUUGAUUACUCUUUGUAGUUGAUGCUUGUUGGAUUACUUGGUGGAAGAGUUUAUGUUCAGAUCCUUGAUGCUAUUCAUUACACCUCUGGUCAUGAUUAUGAUUAUAUCUUGUGAGUAGUUACUUUUGUUCCUAAGGACAUGGAAUAAGUCAUGCUGAUAAUAGUCAUGUGAAUUUGAUAUUCGUUCAGUAUUUUGAUAUGAUGUAUGUUGUUUUUCCUCUAGUGGUGUUAUGUGAACGUGGACUACAUAACACUUCACCAUAUUUGAGCCUAGAGGAAGGCAUUGUGAAGUAGUAAGUAGAUGAUGGGUUGCUGGAGUGACAGAAGCUUAAACCCCAGUUUAUGCGUUGCUUCGUGAGGGGAUGAUUUGGAUCCACUAGUUUAAUGCUAUGGUUAGACUUUGUCUUAAUUCUUCUUUUGUAGUUGCGGAUGCUUGCUAGAGAGGUUAAUCAUAAGUGGGAUGCUUGUCCAAGUAAGGUCAGUACCCAAGCGCCGGUCCACCCACAUAUCAAACUAUCAAAGUAACGAACGCGAAUCAUAUGAACAUGAUGAAACUAGCAUGACAGAAAUUCUCAUGUGUCCUCGGGAGCAUUUUUCCUCCUAUAUGACUUUGUUCAGGCUUGUCCCUUGCUACAAAAGGGAUUGGGCCACUUGCUGCACCGUUGCUACUACUUGUUAUUUGUUACUCUUUGCUUGCUACGUUUCACCUCGCUACACAAUCACUUGUUACCGCUACUUUCAGUGCUUGCAGUUAUUACCUUGCUGAAAUUCGUUUAUCACAGCCUUCUGCUCCUCGUUGGGUUCGACAAUCUUACUUAUAGAAAGGACUAUGAUUGAUCCCCUAUACUUGUGUUGGAAAUAUGCCCUAGAGGCAAUAAUAAAUUAGUUAUUAUUAUAUUUCUUUGUUCAUGAUAAUCGUUUCUUAUCCAUGCUAUAAUUGUAUUGAUUGGAAACACAGUGCAUGUGUGGAUACACAGACAAAACACAGUCCCUAGUAAGCCUCUAGUUGACUAGCUCGUUGAUCAAAGAUGGUCAAGGUUUCCUGACCAUAGGCAAGUGUUGUCACUUGAUAACGGGAUCACAUCAUUAGGAGAAUCAUGUGAUGGACUAGACCCAAACUAAUAAGACGUAGGAUGUUGAUCGUGUCAUUUUGUUGCUAUUGUUUUCUGCGUCUCAAGUAUUUGUUCCUAUGACCAUGAGAUCAUAUAACUCACUGACACCGGAGGAAUGCUUUGUGUGUAUCAAACGUUGCAACGUAACUGGGUGACUAUAAAGAUGCUCUAUAGGUAUCUCCGAAGGUGUUCGUUGAGAUAGUAUGGAUCGAGACUGGGAUUUGUCACUCCGUGUGACGGAGAGGUAUCUCGGGGCCCACUCGGUAAUACAACAUCACNNNNNNNNNNNNNNNNNNNNNNNNNNNNNNNNNNNNNNNNNNNNNNNNNNNNNNNNNNNNNNNNNNNNNNNNNNNNNNNNNNNNNNNNNNNNNNNNNNNNNNNNNNNNNNNNNNNGGUAAACGAGAUUGAAAUAGGUAUGCGGAUACUGACGAUCGAAUCUCGGGCAAGUAACAUACCGAAGUACAAAGGGAAUGACAUACGGGAUUAUAUGAAUCCUUGGCACCGAGGUUCAAACGAUAAGAUCUUCGUAGAAUAUGUAGGAUCCAAUAUGGGCAUCCAAGUCCCGCUAUUGGAUAUUGACCGAGGAGUCACUCGGGUCAUGUCUACAUAGUUCUCGAACCCGCAGGGUCUGUACACUUAAGGUUCGACGUUGUUUUAUGCGUAUUUGAGUUAUAUGGUUGGUUACCGAAUGUUGUUCGGAGUCCCGGAUGAGAUCACGGACAUCACGAGGGUUUCCGGAAUGGUCCGGAAACAAAGAUUGAUAUAUAGGAUGACCUCAUUUGAUUACCGGAAGGUUUUCGGAGUUACCGGGAAUAUACCGGGAAUGACGAAUGGGUUCCUCGGAAUGUACCAGGAAUGACGAAUGGGUUCCGGGUGUUCACCGGGGGGGCAACCCACCCCGGGGAAGCCCAUAGGCCUUGGGGGUGGCGCACCAGCCCUUAGUGGGCUGGUGGGACAGCCCAAUAAGGCCCUAUGCGCCAUAGGAAGAAAAUCAAAGAGAAAAAGGAAAAAAGAAAAGGGGAGGUGAGAAAAAGGGGAAGGACUCCACCUUCCAAACCUAGUUGGAUUCGGUUUGGAAGGGGAGGACUCCCCCCCUUGGCUCGACCGACCCCCAAGGCAAGGCCCCCCUCUCCCACCUAUAUAUACGGAGGUUUUAGGGUUGAUUUGAGACAACUUUGCCACGGCAGCCCGACCACAUACCACCAUGGUUUUACCUCUAGAUCGCGUUUCUGCGGAGCUCGGGUGGAGCCCUGCUGAGAUUAGAUCACCACCAAACUCCGGAGCGCCGUCAUGCUGCCCGAGAACUCAUCUACCUCUCCGUCUCUCUUGCUGGAUCAAGAAGGCCGAGAUCAUCGUCGAGCUGUACGUGUGCUGAACGCGGAGGUGCCGUCCGUUCGGCACUAGAUCGUGGGACGGAUCGCGGGACGGUUUGCGGGGCGGAUCGAGGGACGUGAGGACGUUCCACUACAUCAACCGCGUUUCUUAACGCUUCUGCUGUGCGAUCUACAAGGGUACAUAGAUCAAAUAUCCCCUCUCGUAGAUGGACAUCACCAUGAUAGGUCUUCGUGCGCGUAGGAAAAUUUUUGUUUCCCAUGCGACGUUCCCCAACAACUUGUGGGUCAUCAAGACUCUUUUCUGGCGCCGUUGCCGGGGAGUGAAGCGCCUUUGGUAAGUGGAAAUUGGUAAGGAAACAAUUUUAUACUGUGCUGAAAUUUAUUGUCACUUGUCACUAUGGAAACUCUUCCUUUGAGGAGUUUGUUCGGGGUAUCUUCACCAUGAACGGAAGCACGAGGAUUUGCUCCUCAACCUGAGGUACCUACUGAAAAUAUCUUUUAUAAAAUUCCUUUGGGUAUGCUUGAGAAAUUGCUGGCUAAUCCUUUUACAGGAGAUGGAUCUUCACAUCCAGACUUUCAUCUAAUCUAUGUAGAUGAAGUUUGUGGUUUAUUUAAGCUUGCAGGUUUGCCCGAGGAUGAGGUAAAGAAGAAACUCUUUCCUUUAUCUUUGAAGGAUAAGGCAUUGACAUGGUAUAGGCUAUGUGAUGAUACUGGAUCAUGCAGCUACAAUCGGUUGAAAUUGGAAUUUCAUCAAAAGUUCUAUCCCAUGCAUUUAGUAUAUCAUGAUCGGAACUUUAUUUAUAACUUUUGGCCUCGUGAUAGGGAAAGCAUAGCUCAAGCUUGGGGGAGGCUUAAAUCAAUGCUAUAUUCAUGCCCCAAUCAUGAGCUCUCGAGAGAAAUCAACACUCAAAACAUUUAUGCUCGGAUUUCUCAUGAAGAUCGUACCAUGCUUGAUACUUCUUGUGCCGGUUCUUUUAUGAAGAAGAAUAUUGAUCACAAGUGGAAUUUAUUGGAGAGAAUCAAACGCAACUCUGGAGAUUGGGAGCUGGAGGAAGGUAAGGACUCAGGUAUGAAUUUCUAUUUUGAUUGCGUUAAAUCUUUUGUUGAGACAAACACUUCUAGAGAGCGCUAAGUAUGGACUUGACUCUGAGAUAGUAGCUUCUCUUUGUAAAUCUUUUGCUGCUCAUGUUGAUCUUCCCAAAGAGAAGUGGUUUAAAUAUCAUCCUCCUGUAGAAAGCAACAUAGCCAAAACCAAUCUAGUUGAGGAGAAAAUCAUAGCUUUUAGUGAUCCUGUUGUUCCUUGUGCUUACACUGAGAAACCACCAUACCCUGCUAGGAUGAAGGAUUAUUCUAAAGCUCCAACUGUGAUACGUAGGGGUUACAUUAGACCACUUGCACCCCCUGAAGAGAUUAGAGUUGAACCUAGUGUUGCUAUUAUCAAAGAUCUCUUAGCCAAAGAGAUAGAUGGGCAUGUUAUCAAAUUCUGUGAGGACUCCGCUAGAAUUGCUAAACCUCACGCGAAAGACAAGCACGGACCUGUAGUUGGCCUGCCCGUUGUUUCUGUUAAGAUAGGAGAUCACUGUUACCAUGGUUUAUGUGAUAUGGGAGCUAGUGUUAGUGCAAUACCCCGUUCUCUAUAUGAUGAAAUCAAAGAUGAGAUUGCACCAGCUGAGAUAGAACCCAUUGAUGUCACUAUCACGCUAGCUAAUAGAGACACUAUAUGCCCUUUGGGAAUUGUGAGAGAUGUAGAAGUCCUGUGUGGUAAGACGAAGUAUCCUACUGAUUUCCUCGUCCUUGGUACUACACAAGAUAGCUUUUGUCCCAUCAUAUUCGGUAGACCCUUUCUCAACACUAUCAAUGCUCACAUUGAUUGCAUUAAGCAGACUGUCAUAGUAAGUUUCGAGGGUGUGUCUCAUGAAUUUAACUUCUCCAAGUUUGGAAGACAACCCCAUGAAAGAGAUUCAUCUGGUAGGGAUGAAAUCAUUGCUCUUUCCUCUAUUGCCAUACCUCCUACGAAUCCUUUAGAGCAAUAUCUGCUUGAGCAUGAAAAUGAUAUGCAUACGGAGGAGAGAGAUGAGAUAGAUAGAAUUGUCUUAGAACAAUGUCCUAUUCUCAAGAAUAAUCUGCAUGUUGAACUGCUUGGGGAUCCUCCCCCACCAAAGGGUGAUCCUGUGUUCGAGCUUAAACAGUUGCCUGAUACUCUUAAGUAUGCCUAUCUUGAUGAGAAGGAGAUAUAUCCUGUCAUUAUUAGUGCUCUCCUCUCAGAGCGUGAAGAGAAGAAGUUACUAAAAACUCUGAGGAAGCACCGCGCUGCUAUUGGAUAUACUCUUGAUGAUCUUAAGGGUAUUAGUCCUACUCUAUGUCAGCACAAGAUUAAAACCGAUCCUGACUUUAAACCAGUUGCUGAUCAUCAAAGGAGAUUAAAUCCUAAGAUGAAAGAGGUCGUUAGAAAAGAAAUAUUAAAGCUUCUGGAAGCAGGAAUCAUUUAUCCUAUUGCUCAUAGUGAUUGGGUAAGUCCAGUACAUUGCGUACCUAAGAAGGGAGGUAUCACCGUCGUUCCUAAUGAUAAGGAUGAACUAAUCCCACAAAGGAUUAUUACCGGCUAUAGAAUGGUGAUAGACUUCCGGAAACUGAACAAGGCAACCAGGAAAGAUCAUUAUCCUUUGCCGUUCAUCGACCAAAUGCUAGAAAGGCUAUCAAAGCACACACACUUUUGCUUUCUAGACGGUUAUUCAGGUUUCUCGCAAAUACCUGUUGCAUAAUUUGAUCAAGAGAAAACCACCUUCACCUGCCCUUUCGAUACCUUUGCCUAUAGAUGUAUGCCUUUUGGCUUAUGUAAUGCACCUGCCACCUUUCAAAGAUGUAUGAUGGCUAUAUUCUCUGACUUUUGUGAAAAGAUUGUCGAGGUUUUCAUGGAUGACUUCUCCAUUUACGGGUCUUCCUUUGAUGAUUGCCUCAGCAACCUUGAUCGAAUCUUACAGAGAUGCGAAUAAACCAACCUCGUCUUGAAUUGGGAGAAGUGCCACUUUAUGGUUAAUGAAGGUAUCGUCUUAGGACACAAAAUCUCUGAAAGAGGCAUUGAAGUUGAUAAGGCUAAGGUUGAUGCAAUUGAGAAAAUGCCUUGCCCCACAGAUAUCAGAGGUAUACGAAGUUUCCUAGGUCAUGCUGAUUUCUAUAGAAGGUUCAUUAAAGACUUCUCUAAGAUUUCUAGGCCUCUUACCAACCUCUUGCAGAAGGAUGUUCCUUUUGUUUUUGAUGAGGAUUGUGAGGAAGCCUUCGAAAUACUUAAGAAGGCUUUGAUAACCGCACCUAUUGUUCAACCACCUGACUGGAACUUUCCCUUUGAAAUCAUGUGUGACGCUAGUGAUUAUGCUGUUGGUGUUGUUCUAGGACAAAGAGUUGACAAGAAGUUGAAUGUCAUUCACUACGCUAGUAAAACUCUAGACAGUGCCCAAAGGAACUAUGCCACUACGGAGAAGGAAUUUUUAGCACUCGUGUUUGCAUGUGAAAAAAUCAGAUCUAACAUAGUUGACUCCAAGGUCACUAUUCACUCUGAUCAUGCUCCUAUUAAGUACCUUAUGGAGAAGAAGGACGCUAAGCCUAGGCUUAUCAGAUGGGUUCUCCUGCUACAGGAAUUUGAUUUGCACGUCAUUGACCGAAAGGGUGCUGAUAACCCUGUAGCAGAUAACUUGUCUAGGCUAGAGAAUGUCCUUGAUGACCCACUACCAAUUGAUGACAGCUUUCCUGAUGACCAAUUAAAUGUCAUCCGCACUUCACUUAGUGCACCAUGGUAUGCCGAUUAUGCAAACUAUAUCGUAGCCAAAUACAUACCACCCAGUUUCACCUAUCAACAAAAGAAGAAAUUCUUCUUUGAUUUGAGACACUACUUUUGGGAUGAUCCUCACCUUUAUAAGGAAGGAGUAGAUGGUGUUAUUAGACGUUGUGUGCCUGAACAUGAACAGGGACAGAUCCUGCAGAAGUGUCAUUCCGAAGCCUACGGAGGACACCACGCUGGAGAUAGAACUGCCCAUGAGGUAUUGCAAUCAGGUUUCUAUUGGCCCACUCUCUUCAAGGAUGCUCGUAAGUUUGUCUUGUCUUGUGACAAAUGCCCAAGGAUAGGGAACAUCAGUAAGCGUCACAAGAUGCCUAUGAACUAUUCACUUGUCAUUGAACCAUUUGAUGUCUGGGGCUUUGAUUAUAUGGGACCCUUCCCGAGUUCCAGUGGGUACACUCACAUCUUAGUUGUUGUGGAUUACGUUACUAAGUGGGUAGAAGCUAUCCCCACUAAAAAUGCUGAUCACCACAACUCUAUUAAGAUGCUUAAAGAAGUUAUAUUCCCAAGAUUUGGAGUCCCUAGAUACUUGAUGACUGAUGGCGGUUCACACUUCAUUCAUGGUGUUUUCCGCAAGAUGCUAGCUAAGUAUGAUGUCAACCAUAGAGUUGCAUCUCCUUAUCAUCCUCAGUCUAGUGGUCAAUUGGAGUUGAGUAAUAGGGAGAUCAAGUUGAUCUUACAAAAGACCGUCAAUAGAUCCCGAAAGAACUGGUCUAGCAAACUUGACGAUGCACUAUGGGCUUAUAGGACUGCUUAUAAAAAUCCCAUGGGCAUGUCACCGUAUAAAAUGGUUUACGGUAAGGCCUGUCAUUUACCUCUUGAGUUGGAACACAAAGCUUAUUGGGCAAUCAAAGAGCUCAACUUUGAUUUCAAACUUGCCAGUGAGAAGCGGUUGUUUGAUAUCAGCUUGUUGGAUGAAUGGAGAGCCCAGGCAUAUGAGAAUACCACGUCGUCAAGGAAAAGGUUAAGAGAUGGCACGACAAACGAAUACAGAAACGAGAGUUCAAUGUAGGUGAUUAUGUCUUGCUAUACAAUUCUCGUUUGAGAUUCUUUGGAGGCAAGCUUCUCUCUAAAUGGGAAGGUCCCUACGUUGUCGAGGAAGUAUAUCGUUCCGGUGCCAUCAAAAUCAAUAAUACAAGGAAAUUUUCCUAGAGUGGUAAAUGGGCAAAGAAUCAAGCAUUACAUCUCUGGUACUCCCAUAAAUGUUGAGACCAAUAUCAUCAAUGUCAUAACUCCACAGGAGUACAUAAGGGAUGUUUAUCAGCCUGUUUCAGACCUUGAAAACGAAGAUGUAUCUGUUUCGGCAAGAAAUUGGACUCCGAUACUUUUCCAAUAGGAAAUUUCCUCAGUUUUGGAAUUUUUGGAAAAUUAGAAAAAUAAAAAAGCAGUCCGGAGAGCAAACGAGGAAGCCACAAGGGCCCACUCCGCCACCACCCCCUGGUGGCGGUGGGCAAGCUUGUGGGCACCUUGUGUGCCUCCCGGACUCCGUUUUCUUGCAGAGGACUCCUUCUGGCCCAGAAAAAAUCAAUAUAUAGUUGCCCGAAGGUUUUGAUCUUCAUAUCGCGUAGUUUUCCUCUGUUUUCGUUUCGAGCUUGUUUCUGCCGCAGAUCUAGAUCAUCAUGACUUCCCCAAACGCUCCUAAGGACAAGAUCUUGGAGAAGGUCAUCAAUCCCUACCUCACGGAAGUGCUAAAACACCAUCAAUCUAUCAAGAUGAGCGAGGGGAUGUUGCACAUCCGUGAUGUUGAGGGGCCUAAGAAGACCGGAAGCAUGGAGACGAGGCUCGAAGUAGUGGAGCAACAAGUCUUCAUGUGCCAAGGGAUGGUUGAGCGUGGACUCAACGCCAACCACACGAUGAUCACGGAGUUCACUAGCAAUCACAAGAUGGAUGUCAUUGAUAUCGGGAAACACCUCUCCAGACUUUACGAUAGGGUUGACCAACUUCAGGGCCAAAUCUAUGACCUGCAGAAUCAAAACUGUGAGUAUGGGUAUAGAUUUAAAUCAAUAAGGUUGGCUGCAGAUUUGAGGAUUUCGGCUACUCGUUCAUCCUGCCAUGAUGGAGCACCUAUGCCUUGGAAGACGGAGGAUCAGACUACUCCAACAACACCACCAUCAUCACCAAAGGAAGACAACUAAGCAUUGGUAUGGGCAAUCCCCUUGGCUUCUGCCGAGCUUGGGGGAGUUGCCCUGGUAUCAUAUCACCUUUAUAUCUUUUGCUUUUACCUUUGUUUUAGUUCUUUCCCUUUCAGUUUUUAUUUCUUCUUUUAGAGGAAUAAGUCUUUAGUUUUUAGUUUGAGUCUUUUGCUUUUGGUCUCUCCCCCGAUGUAUUCGAGCUUACGAGCUAUAUAAUAAAGAGUGUCUUAGUCAAAGGGCUUUGCUUUGUGCCAUGAUCAAAAGUAUGAAAAGAACGAUAGCAUGAAAGAUCAUGAGACGAUCUUAUGGAAAGUGAUAACUUCACUUAUGACACGUAUGAUGAUUGAAACUUGUCGAGAAUAAAUCAACACAUACCUCAGUCAUUGUUGCAAUUAAUAAGAAGUAAUAAGGAAAGAGAGGUUCACAUAUAAAUAUAUCAUCUUAGACACUUUCUACAAUUGUGAGCACUCACCAAACUAUUACAUGCCUAGGAGUAGAUGUUGGACAAGGAAGACAACAUAAUGAAUUGUGUUUGCUUGGUUCCAAACAAUGUUAUAUGAUUAGAGAUCCCUUAGCAUGUGACGAUUGCUUCCACCUCAUAUUAGCCAAAACUUCCGCACCAAGUAGAGAUACUACUUGUGCAUCCAUAAACCUUCAACCCAGUUUUGCCAUGAGAGUCCACCAUACCUACCUAUGGAUUGAAUAAGAUCCUUCAAGUAAGUUGUCAUCGGUGCAAGCAAUAAAAAUUGCUCUCUAAUAUGUAUGAUCUAUUAGUGUGUGGAAAAUAAGCUUUGUACGAACCUGUGAUGAGGAAGACAUAAAAGCGACAGACUGCAUAAUAAAGUUCUUUGUCACAGGAGGCAAUAUAAAGUGACGUUCCUCCGCACUAAGAGGACACGCAUUCAAACCUCAAAAGUGCAUGACAACCUCUGCUUCCCUCUGCGAAGGGCCUAUCUUGUACCUUUACUUUUACCCUUGUAAGAGUCAUGGUGAUCAUCACCAAUUCCCUUUUUGCCUUCGUCUUGGCUACCGUCACAUGCUUGGAAAAGAUCUAUAUUCAUAUAUCAACUUGGAGUUGAGUACUCAUGCUUUAUUGUUGUUGACUUUACCCUUGAGGUAAACCGUUGGGAGGAAAAACUAUAAGCCCCCAUCUUCCUCUGUGUCGAGCUGAAGCUUUGACACCAUGAGUACCACGUGAGCUAUAAAAAUUGUGGAAAACAAAAGAGAUGAUUGAGUAUGUGGGUUUGCCUUACAAGCUCUUAUUUGACUCUUUCUGAUGUUGUGAUAAAUUGCAAUUGCUUCAAUGAUUAUGGACUAUUGUUGGUUACUUCUCGGUAAGGUUUUUGCUUCAUGCUUUGCUUUGUGAAGGAAUUGUUACUUUCCCAUAAGAAUCUUUAUAUAUAUUGUUGUUCUAUGUGUGAUCAUGAUGCCCUCAUGUCUGUAUUAUGUUUUAUCGACACCUUCGUCCCUCAACAUGUGGACGUGUUUAUGGAACUUGGUUUUCGCUUGAGGACAAGCGAGGUCUAAGCUUGGGGGAGUUGAUACGUCCAUUUUGCAUCAUGUUUUCAUGUUGAUAUUUAUUGCUUCUUGGGAUGUUAUAUUACUUGUGGUGCCAUAUUUAUGCCUUUUCGCUCUUAUUUUGCAAGGAUUAUUUGAAGAGGGAGAAUUCAGGCAGCUGGAAUUCUGGACUAGAAAAGGAGCAAAUCCUAGUCCACUAUUCUGCACAUCUCCAAAUGCCCUGAAAAUUUACGUGGAUUUUUUCUGGAAUAUAUUAAAAAUACUGGGCGAAAGAACUACUGGAGGGGGGCCACCAGGGCCCCACAAGCUUGCCCACCACCACCACCCCCUGGUGGCGCACGGUAGGCUUGUGGGCAGCCCACUAGCCCACUAGCCCCCCUCUUUUGCUAUAUGAUGCGUCCUGACCUGGAAAAAAUCAUACAGGAGCUUUUUCGUGGUUUCGCCGCCACCACGGGGCGGAACUUGAGCAGAUCCAAUCUAGAGCUCUGGCAGGACAAUCCUGCCGGGGAAAUUUCCCUCCCGGAGGGGGGAAUCGUCGCCAUCUUCAUCACCAACACUCCUCUCGUCGGAGGGGAGGCAUCUUCAUCAACAUCUUCAUCAGCACCAUCUCUUCUCCAAUCCCUAGUUCAUCUCUUGUAACCAAUCUUCAUCUCGCAACUCAAAUUGGUACUUGUAAGGUUGCUAGUAGUGUUGAUUACUCUUUGUACUUGAUGCUUGUUGGAUUACUUGGUGGAAGAUUUUAUGUUCAGAUCCUUGAUGCUAUUCAUUACACCUCUGGUCAUGAUUAUGAUUAUGUCUUGUGAGUAGUUACUUUUGUUCCUGAGGACAUGGAAUAAGUCAUGCUGAUAAUAGUCAUGUGAAUUUGAUAUUCGUUCGGUAUUUUGAUAUGAUGUAUGUUGUUUUUCCUCUAGUGGUGUUAUGUGAAUGUCAACUACAUAACACUUCACCAUAUUUGGGUCUAGAGGAAGGCAUUGGAAAGUAGUAAGUAGAUGAUGGGUUGCUGGAGUGACAGAAGCUUGAACCCCAGUUUAUGCGCUACUUCGUGAGGGGUUGAUUUGGAUCCACUAGUUUAAUGCUAUGGUUAGACUUUGUCUUAAUUCUUCUUUUGUAGUUGCGGAUGCUUGCGAGAUAGGUUAAUCAUAAGUGGGAUGCUUGUCCAAGUAAGGGCAGUACCCAAGUGCCGGUCCACCCACAUAUCAAACUAUCAAAGUAACGAAUGCGAAUCAUAUGAACAUGAUGAAACUAGUAUGACAGAAAUUCCCGUGUGUCCUCGGGAGCGUUUUCCUCCUAUAAGACUUUGUUCAGGCUUGUCCCUUGCUACAAAAGGGAUUGGGCCACUUGCUGCACCGUUGCUACUACUUGUUACUUGUUACUCUUUGCUUGCUACGUUUCACCUCGCUACACAAUCACUUGUUACCGCUACUUUCAGUGCUUGCAGUUAUUACCUUGCUGAAAUCCGUUUAUCAGAGCCUUUUGCUCCUCGUUGGGUUCGACACUCUUACUUAUCGAAAUGACUACGAUUGAUCCCCUAUACUUGUGGGUCAUCAAGUUGCGUGAUCACAUGGUCAUAGGAACAGAAACAUUGACAUGCAGAAAAAUAGUAGCAAUAAACUGACACGAUCAUAUGCUACAUUUAUAGUUCGGUUCUUGUCCAUCACAUCAUUCUCCCAAUGAUGUGAUCCCGUCAUCAAGUGACAACACUUGCCUAUGGCCAGGAAACCUUGACCAUCUUUGAUCAACGAGCUAGUCAACUAGAGGCUCACUAGGGACAGUGGGUUGUCUAUGUAUCCACACAUGUAUUUGAGUUUCCAAUCAAUACAAUUCUAGCAUGGAUAAAUAAAUGAUUAUUACGAACAAGGAAAUAUAAUAAUAACCAAUUUAUUAUUGCCUCUAGGGCAUAUUUCCAACAAUUUCUAUGUAAAAGGUGCGGAUAGUACCUCAUUCUCGUCUAUCCCAAGCUGAGGUAUGUCACCGACCCUAUGCUCAUCCAUGCAUACAAAAUUAUCCACUGGAGCCCUGAAUAAUUUUUUAUAGUAUUCAAAGAUAUAUUGUUUGAGAUUCUCAUGUCCCACAAUUGUACCCUCAUCUUGUUCUAGCUGGAUAAUUUUUUUAUUCCUAUGCUUUCCAUUAGCUAUUAGAUGGAAAUGUUGUGUGUUGUCAUCUCCUUGUACCACUUGGAGGACUUUCGCUCUUAGUGCCCACUUCAACUCCUCCUCUCUGAGUAGUUGUUUGAGCUUUAGUUCAGCCUCCAUUUUUCAAUGACCUCUCAUUGUCACCUAAUAACGUUUGUUCGGCUUUUAUGUCUAGUGUGUUUAUAAGUUUAUAAGUUCGACAAGCCUUUGUUUCUUUUUCUUAUAAAUUACACUAUCGUGCUUUUCCCAACCCCUUAAGAAUUGCCUCAGGUGUCUUAUCUUAUUUUGCCACCUGUCAACAUUCGAGUCACCUUCUGUGAAAUAGCCCAUUCUCAAACCCGUCCCUUUCAAACCAUCCCAAUUCGAAAGAAAAAAGGUUUUUAUUUCCCACAUGUGUUGCUUCUCGCGAGUCUACAAACAGUGGGGUAUGAUCAGAGAUAGCUCUUGGUAACUCUCAAACUGUGACGAGAGGGAAUUUCUGCUCCCAUUCCACACUCAUGAGAACCCGGUCCAACUUCUCAAAAGUUGGGUUAGGUAAAGAGUUUGCCCAAGUAAACUUUCUCCCUGAUAGCUCAAUCUCCCACAAAUUAAGGCUCUCGAUGAUUGAAUUAAACAUAAAUGACCAUCUUCCAUCAAAGUUAUCACUGUUUUUCUCAUCCUGCCUCCAGAUUAUAUUAAAAUCGCCCCCUACUAAAAUCGGCAGUCUCUCGUCCCCGCAGAUUCGGACAAGGUCAGCCAAGAAAUCUCUCUUGAACUCAGGCUGGGCCGCCCCAUGCACAUCUACGAGUGCCCAUUGGAACCCGUCAUCUUUGGAGCGAACUCAAAAUUUGACUGCAAAGUCUCCAUACACCACUUUCGUAGUUGUGGUGUCUCGCACCGAACCCCAAGCAAGAUCCCACCUGAUCUUCCUCUUGGAGGUAGACAAUGCCAGUCAAAUUCAGAACCUCCAUACAACGUGUUUAAAAACGAAGCUAUAUAGUUAUCUCUCCCAGUUUCCAUCAAUGCAACGAAAUCCAAUUUGUGCUCAAUAGUUGUUUCAGCUAGGAAUCUUCUUUUAGCCAAGUCUGCUAGACCUCUGCUAUUCCAAAAUGUUCCUUUCAUCGCUCAUCAUGAAAUUUCUUAGCCGUUUUAAAUCUAGCACUACGACGCACAGCUGAAACAGGAUAGACUUUUCUCUUCCAGGUUCUUUUUGGCCUAUCCUGAACCUCCGACCGAUCCACAUAACCGUUGGACUCUUGUGCGUUAGCAUUCGUUUGUGGAGGAGCCUCAUACCCCUCCUGAACGAUAUCAUUUGUGUCUUCAAGCAAAAGGGGGGUGGCACAAGAUCCUCACAUAAACGCUCUAAGGCUCCCAAACCCAAUGCAUUUAUAUCAGAAUCAUUCAUAGGUUUUACGGCUGCAAUUUUUCUGACCAUCUCAAUUGCCCUCUCUGCCUCUAAGUCUAACAUGUCAUUUACCGAUCUAGAUAUCUCCUGGUCUACCAAACGCUAGAAUAAGGCCUAGUAACGGGCCCGACCCAUGCCAUUUUGGCCCAUGACUGCAACCAAACACACCCUUAAGUAACUUCUACAAUAUCCAUCCCCAACUUCCAGAAAUUCUAACACUUAAAAAAUCAAAAUCAAACUAUUGGCAUUUAAAACUUUCAUACAUUUCAUUUCUGAAAAAAAUGGUCUUUUAGAUUUCGAAAUAUCAGUAUUAUAUUUUUUACAAAAUUUAACUUUAAGAAUUUUCAAAAUUAUAAGGAUUCAAAAUUCAAAUGUUUUAGCACUUAAAAAAAUUCAAACUUUAAAAAAAUUGAACUUUCAAAUGUUUUGAAUUUUAAGAAGUGUGAACUUUCAUUUUUUUAUAAAGGAUGGGUUUUAUUUACUCAAAAUAAAGCAUCAAGAGCAUACAAAUACAAUAAGAACACACCCGGCCACUUUAUAACUAGGAUGCACACAACCAACUCAAACUCACACACACAAAAAUACGAUCGGUAAAUAGCAAAGUCAUAUAAGACCAAAGCUAUGUGCGCGGUUGGAAAAAGAAACCAAAGCGACCAUAUUGGCAAUGGACAAACUACAACAAUGACCAUAUCUGCACCAACAAUUUCAUUACACCACACGGACAACGAGGUUCCUCAACAAUGACACCUUCAGAAAGGGAGCGACGCUCAAAUGCCGCUAUCAUCGGAUCCAACCAUCCAAGGUCAGAUGCAAGAUUUUCACUCUGAGAAUCAGUCCAAGCAUGUCCGAGCAAUUCCUUCAAUAAGGUAAUGGCGUAAAAACAUCGCCAUUGCCAGGUACAGCCAACUCGAGUUGGACCUAGGCUUUCACCCGGGAGCUCAAGACCGGGUGCUCGAGAAGCACCACCAUCGAAGUCACUAUGUGUUGUUGCCACUACUUUUCCACAAUCUCAGUAGCUAUAUGCGAUGUGUGACCGCUGAUGCUGCACAACCAUCCCUCUACAUCAAGCCAUCAUCAAUAGUUUCAAUCUCACCGUUGAAGUCAACCAUCGGAUCUCCAAGAUCAAUCAUGAAGACCUUUUGAUGGAUACUACAUCAAUCCGCCGCGAGACCGCCACCGUAGUCAUGGUGGUCACCACACGUUCGUCGUCACGCCCCUAGCAGACCUAAAGGUCCACACCAAGGAACCACGGGUCCACACGCAUGGAGCCAUGGAUGUGUGUGUGGAUCAUGAAACGACCAAUCCAUGGCCAUGGCCAUUAGAUGAGACUAUCCCUGGCUGAUGGCAGGUGUCCAAGCCCUGCCGACAUGGCCACUACACCAUGGGCGCCAUCCCACAUGAAGGAGCCACCAGGCGGAGCAGCGACCACAAGUGAGGCGAGAUCUACACCAGCAAUGGCUGGAUCAUCCAGGUAACUGUCCGCUGGAUCUGUGGUGACAUCGUUGGAGGAAGCACGGGGUAGAGAGUGUGAAUCUGGGUUGGGGGAGAGGGGAAGGUCGGGGAAGAAGAUCCCUGUGGCGGUUGAGUCCCGCCGCCGCUGACAAACUGUCAUCGAUGAUGACGACGAGGAUGGAACAUCGGAGGCGGCCUCGAGUGCUAGGGUUUCUCGCCCCCGGUGUCGCCCUGGAGCAACACGGGAGGCCGAUGGCGAUUUCAUAGGAGAGAGAGAGAGAAGGUUGAGAAAUAGAAUCACAUGGUUGGGCAUGUGAGGAAAGAGAGAGAUGGAAAGAAGCACAUGGAUGAGGCCCCCUCGUCCUAUCUACCACAUGGUAACCUGACACAGUCACAUGCAAUGCUUGCGGCAAUGACCAUGGGCACAGUUCCCACAAGAGAGCAUUCUUAGAGUAAUAGCGAGUCUCAUCCUCAUGUUGGAUGCCUAUAUAAAGCUUCUCCUUUCCAACAUUCAUCAUACGAAUUGGCCAAAAUUUCUUUCUCAUUUGUGAUCUUUCAUCACAUUCAACUUUCCUUUGUAUAUAUUGUUGCUAAGCUUCAAAUUCUAAUCAGCUGGAGCUAAGCAAUGAAUUCUUCAUGCCAUCGAGCAUUCCUCGUGAGGAACAUCUUUUGUACUUUGGAAUGAGUGGUAUCGAGAAAUUAGUCAGGACGACUUUCUGAGGCUGAGGCGCCGCUUUUUUCUGUUCUCGUCUCUGAGACGUUGAGGUGGUAGACAUUUAUGAUAAGUGCAUUUCUUGUUGAGAAUAGCAUCGAUAAUCAUGUCUAGUCUAACAACUUGCUCAUUUAGGACUACCCUGGACAGUGCAACAAGUAAAAUACCAAAUCCUUGUACAAAAACAAGUUGUUGCCCUGUGGUGAGGAGUUGAAGCUAUGGCAUGAACUCGUCCAUGUGUGCGGUAUUUCUCCUUGUUGUUUCCAUCGUCUCUAGAAAUCGCUAAAAAGAUCAAAAACAAUAUCAAACCGUUGACACUAUGUGUCUACCAUCUCACACAAAUUCGAACCCAUAUCCAUCGCAGAUCUCCAAAAACAAACAAACAAGACGGAUCCAGUGUUGAACAGCAUAGCAACUAAUUCAAAUCAGCACAUGAACACAUCAUAUCAUCAGCACCAACACAAGAUUGUUUUUUUUUCUCUUUUCUUCAAACAAUAUCCUGAUUAAGGUUUAAAUAUUCUUGUGGCGUUGUAAAUACAUGUUGUGUGUCAGAGACAUAAUUCUUUUUCAAAUAAAAAAACAUAACUUUUUUUACCACAAAUUUUUCUAGGCUUAUGUGUGUGUAUCUUCCUUGUUUCAGUUCCAAGUGACAAGAGGCAAACUUGUCACGGUUGACUGAAUAGAACAGUAGCAAUCGACCUGCCCGGAGCUUCUAUUUUUUGUAGGUGAUUUUCUCUGUUAAGAGUGACUUCUUCUUUUUUGAGAGUUUUGUUAAGAGUGACAUGAAAUCUGCAUAUGGCGAUCGAGCACGCAUGCCGGCGAUCCCACACGGCGCACCGCAGCCACAAGCCGAUCGCCCCCACAAAAUCUGCCCGACGGCUCCCACCGGGAUGGGAUUCCCCGGUGCCAAUGGCGCGCGCCCACCUCACCCCCUCUUAUCCCCGCCUCACCCACUCGCGCCACGCCCCUUAUCCCCUCCUCUUACAAACCCACACAAACUAAUCAUCGCCCACCACCCUCCAACGAUCACCAACCAAAACCCCUCCACACGCCCGCCCGCGCGCGCCACGGACGCAGCAAUGGCCGCCCUCGCCGCCUCCAUCGCCACCUCCACGGCGUUCGCCGCGAAGCCGCGCCUGUCCCGCCCGCCGGCGCGCCUCUCCGUCUCCUGCUCCGCGUCCAGCGGCGACAACAACAACAGCACCGCCACCCCCUCGCUCUCCGCCUCCAUCAAGACCUUCUCGGCCGCGCUGGCGCUCUCCUCCGUGCUCCUCUCCUCCGCCGCCACCUCCCCGCCCCCCGCGGCUGCCGACAUCGCCGGCCUGACCCCGUGCAAGGAGUCCAAGGCCUUCGCCAAGCGGGAGAAGCAGUCGGUCAAGAAGCUCAACUCGUCGCUCAAGAAGUACGCGCCCGACUCCGCCCCGGCGCUCGCCAUCCAGGCCACCAUCGACAAGACCAAGCGCCGGUUCGAGAACUACGGCAAGUUCGGCCUGCUCUGCGGCUCCGACGGCCUGCCCCACCUCAUCGUCAGCGGCGACCAGCGGCACUGGGGCGAGUUCAUCACCCCCGGCGUGCUCUUCCUCUACAUCGCCGGCUGGAUCGGCUGGGUCGGACGCAGCUACCUCAUCGCCGUCAGCGGCGAGAAGAAGCCCGCCAUGAGGGAGAUCAUCAUCGACGUCGAGCUCGCCGCCAGGAUCAUCCCCAGGGGCUUCAUCUGGCCCGUCGCCGCAUACCGCGAGCUCAUCAACGGCGACCUCGUCGUCGACGACGCCGACAUCGGCUACUAAGAAGCUGCCAUGCGUGCGUGCGUGCGUGGUUGGCUAGUCGGUCCCAAGUCAGGUGAGCUCUGCAUCCAUGCCUGAAUGUGUUCUGCUCUGUCAUGCCAUGCCAUGGCUCAACUGAUUAACUUGUCUUGCGUUCUUGUUUGCUUUGGCAGAUGGGCAGCGGAGGAUGAGGGCUUGUGGUGUCGAUCUGUGUGGGCUUGGUGUAGGAGCUGAUAGGAUCAUGGAGAAAUGGAACCUCUCUUGUAUUUAAGAAACUGAACCCAAUCUUGUAUAACUAUUGUGUUCUCUCUUCACAUGUGUGUAUUUUACCAUUGUUCAAAUUGUUGAGAACGAUUUUAUUAUGCACAGCAUACUAUGAGUGCAACUGCAUCAACAUACAUAGGAAACUCAACUCAGAGAAAAGGUUGAUUUUUGUUAUAAGAAUACAAGCCAAAUAUCUACUGCAGUAGCAAAUUUAACAUACAUGAUCCACAUGGAGCAAUAUGAAAGAUCGGUGCUGCUUCUCACAUUCUCACAACACUAUACAGACUACUCCCCCGGGUCUUAUAAUAUAAGAUAUUAUUACAACAAAUGCACUCACUUGAGCCUCUUAUGGUGUGGAAUAUUUGAGAGAGGGAAACGGCAGAGUUUUGGACAACACUCACAGCACACUGCGAAGAAUCGUAGACCGAAUGAAGGCCGAUCCCAGGCAGUGGGUUGUUUGAUCUUCGCAUAGGUUGUUCGGUCAGCAAGGCUUAAUUAUCAGUUUCUGGUGUAGGUCGUUUUGUAAGGACUGUGUGUUGUUUUCCCUUUGUUUCUUUUCAGUGCAGUCACAAUUUCAUCUGGAGCACCCUUUUGCAACGGGCCAAACUCCAGGAGGUCAUUUCUUGAAUGGGUCGGGAGCUCCUCCCAUGGUGGAUUGUGGCCAGAGUUGCCCUUCAAGGGAAAGAUAAGAAGAAUGCCCGGCUCUGAGAUCAGAGCCCUGGUCGUUUGGGCUACAUGGAGAGGGGAAUGCCUUAACAAUGAAGUCACGCCCUUUUCUUCAGGCCGUGAGCAAGCUUAAAUUAGAAGCUGGUUUUGGCGAGGAAGACUGUAUGCUCUAGGUGUUUCAGAGAAUGAAACAUGUAUAUAUUCAGGUUGUGGGCCGUCGCCAGCAGCAAUGGAUUGGUGAUUAUUCAAGACAGCGGCUGAAUUGAUUCGUAUAUAUGGACAAUAAAACAUGUAUAUUUGGACAGCUCUGACCCUGAAGGUUGCAACCAUGAUUCCAAAAUACACGGGAAAUUCACCUUAGCAAAAAGAUUUAUUAACAUGAUUACACCAAGUUCAGCAAUACAAAUAUUUGCUCCUGGGCAUCCAAGACAAGGCAAGUGCCCUGUUUUUCCAAAAGAUUGUUCUUUAAGAAUACAACACAAAAUGCCUACUGCAACCAGUAGCAAAUUCAGCAACAUGCUGAACAAUAUUGCCUGUUACUACUCACAAGUCACAACACUUUCGAUACUUAUACAAACUACAAAUGCUUAUUCACACAAGAAUACUUGAAUCAAGGAUUGCCACCAUCAUGCUUAGUCUGGUAGAGGAAAGCCUGUUGCAGUGGUCUCUAGUUCAGUCACCAGUAGCCACCAUGAGAUUGGUUGUUGGAAUUCGGCAGUUCUGCUGAAACAAAAGAAACACACCAUCAGCGCAAUUUCAACUUUUAAGCAGACAGGGUUUCAACAGUUUAGUAGAAUGGUAGUCAUCAGUCAAGCAUAUACGCUCUGGUUAUUGUGAAGGUGGACAUCAAUUUGCUAUCAUCAGAAGUUAAAAUUGUCAAGCUCUGUGAUUUAGCAGCUUAGCUUAUAUCAACAGAAGUUAUCACUGUGGUUAUCAUGGGUAUUGAAAACCGCAUACCGUUGUUAGGAGGUAUGAAGCCCUGACCCGCCACAUGUGCUUCUUCUACUACUCCUAGCAGUUCCUGGAAACGCAGGAACAAACAUCAUCAUGACAUAGCAAACGGAGAAAAAAGAUCUAAAGCCAUGUGAUUGCCAUAGACUGAUAUAAUUGGCCUGAGAGAAGAUAACUGGUCUGUUAUAAAGAAAAAUUCCCAUGACACAUCUAACUUAUUGGAAAGAAGCACAUACUUCAAUUGUAUAUAACGCAUUGACGGUCCCAGACUGAUCAUGGUUAAGUGAAGAGGUUCCCUGACUAACUCCACCUGAGGAAGUGCCAACACCAACAUAUCAGGACCCAAUAAUGCAUAAUGGAGAAGUGAUUUGAAUGUCUAGAGCAUUGCCUAUACUAUCACAUUAAGAAAACUAGAUAUAGCAAGCACGCCUCUUACAAGACAAAGAAUUACCAGGAGCAGCAGUCAUCAAGGAGCUUGAGUAUCCAUUGUGUUGGGCAGUUAGAUAUGUACGAGUCAUUGAGUUGUUCUCUUCAGCCUACAUCCAGGAAAUAUUUGAAGUUGGCAAUGAAUUGUUGGAUGGAAUAGUUGAUUCUGUCACAAGUAUCUUUACUUACUGGUGCAAAAUUGUGGGAUUGGCUGAUUGACCAGGCUGAGAAUGAUCCCUGACCAUCGACGUUUCCAUGGGUGAAAUAGGGAGGAAUUCCAUUACACAGUGUAGAAGGAUCCUGCUGAUAUAGUUCUACAGCAAAUUGAUUGCGAAAACUGUGAGUAGCAAUAAUAAUGCUUUUUGCACAGAGGCAGCACUCACAAUGUGGUCUAUGUUUGAUACAAAAUUGGGCAUGUGUUCAGUAUUUACCUUGAUGCGUAACCUGUUCAUGACUGGACUGUGCAAAUGGUGGUCCUUGAUUCGAAGGACCAGCAACAUUGUUUGCAAAGAUCUGUGCCAGUGGGAAUCCACUCUCCUGCAGAAAUGGUUGUUGCUCACCAAAUUCUGCAGUUGUUUGAUUUUUGGAAGUACUGGCACCGUUGUUCGGAGGUGCUGCCGGGACAAGGCGGCCGUUACUCAGGAAGUAAUCAGGGACAAGACGCCCUGAGUUCUCCAGCUCCUCAAAUUUCUUGUAUGCAGACAUUUUCCAAUUCUUCACUUUAAGCUGUAACAGAAAAUUCGAAUGUAAUUACCAGCACGCUAUUAUUUUAGUGACUAUCAACUGCCUAACCGUGAUAGAAGUGGAAGAGUGUUAGAUGCAGUACCUGUGGAAACUGAUCGACGUCACUGACACUGUACGGAACAUAGACAUCAGUCAUCUUACCGACAACAUCAUAGAAAUCAUUGAAUAAUAUUUCACAAUUAUCCUCUGGAACCCAAUACGAAUAGAUCUCAUCCCCAGGAACAGACAUGGUAGCAUGUUCAAUCAUGGAAUUCCAAUCCCCAUUCUUCAUGCCAGCAAGCUAAUUGCCAUAAAUUAAAAACUAACUUAUCAAUUAAUAAAAUGCCAACAGAUAUUACAUUUAGCAGUACACGUCCAAAUAAGUCCUAAGAUAUGCUGGACAUCUUAUCCUGAUCCAGAAAUAUCAAUAUAAACUGCAUAUAUACCUCUUGGAGACCAAAUUUAUCUUUGUGAUAAUGGCGCAACAAGUGCUUCACUUUCGUAAUAUUUUUCUCCACAAGGUUAUUCCAAUGUUUUCCCUUUAAGCAAAUUUUCUUCAGUUGAUGUAUAGCGUCUUCCUUGGAUGGAAUAGAACUCUUCUCAUUUGCUGAAAUAGGCAAAAAGGUUGGGUGUGUUCAGCGUUCGGACAAGAUUGCUAAUAUGAAAUGAGAUCGUUUUAGGUAUAUUUCCAUCUGUUAGUUUUGACGAAAGGAUUAAUGUCAAGGUAAAUUGCAAUCAAUUUAUUGUUGAUAUACCACCUACAACAUUGAAAAACUACAACGGUUCACACCCUUUCUCCAUUACACACGGAAUGUACAAGUCGACAUAAACUGUGUACUGAGCAAAGAAGAGUGACUCACAGUACUGCUACCCUUUUUUGGCAGAACAAGUCAUCCCCUUCAAAAAGCAAAACAUUUAGUGCCAAAAUAGCAUAUUUUGAGGUAAAGUAAUGUCAUUUCGUGCACAAGGCCAGAACUGUUUUUUGAAAGAUAUACUAUGUGCUGUAAAAAAUUCUUUAUUAUUCAAAUCAGCUUGUCAGACACUUAAAAGAGAAUCAUGCUCUUCACCUGACUAUGCAGUGCACCUAUAAUUCGAUAUAGUUAAAAAAAUGGCUCCGAAUAGAUAAGUGAAUAUACUCACAUUCACUUCGACGGUCUUUGACGACAAAAGGAUCAGUUAUUGCUUCCUGAACUCUGACAGUAAGAUCCUGCCUUUUCACUCGAGCUGUUAAUCUUAACUUUUUCCCGUGGGAGCUCUCUGGAAAGGAGAAUGAACCAAGAGAGGACUCGCCGUUUGUAAGACUAACGGUUGUCAAGACCGACUCUNNNNNNNNNNNNNNNNNNNNNNNNNNNNNNNNUCUUUCCCUUUAUACAUAUAAAUUUGCUUGCUGAAUUCAUCUUUGGUGAAAUCCUCUUGUCCGGUAAAGAAAUCAGCAUGAACAGGUAAGAUCUCAAUUUGCAAUUUAGAAAGAUCACCCUGCGUGAUUGGCUUCUCAUUUUGAAGUAUUGCUACUUUAGCGUUUGCUCCAUUCUUCCAUACUGGACAACGAGUGAAAAGUGUAUCUUUUGGUCCUGCAACAUCAAAGUGUAGCUUGACGACUCCAGUGAUGCUUCCAGUUUCAGGAAAGCCUUCCGAUACAUGCCUAAAAUUUAGAACAGGACGAGAGUGAGACAGUAACAAGAAAGGAAACUUCACAGAUUAUUUAGAAAGGAAAUACCACUUGGUUUGGCAGAUUUUUAGUGUCAAUGACAUGAAUAAAAAACAAUAGAGCAUUAAGUAGAGGAACUAUGCAUGUCCAAUUGUCCAGUGCUCAACUUGUAAUGCAGAACUAGUGCUGACAACUGUAGGAGGACAUAGGAGAAAAAUUAUAAUAUCAGGUACCUAGGAGGAGGCUCAUGAACGGCACUAGGAAGCGAAGCGGCUUGUUGUUCCUGCAUCUAUUGCAUGAUAUAACAAAAAGGAGUUAGGAUAGAGGUAGACAAUAAGGGAAAGAUUCCAAAAAAGGGAAAAGCAUAUUACGUCCAUACUGACCUUUGUCUGUACAAUUGACUGAACCUUAUCUUCGAUGCGUCCCAUAAUAGAACUGUUGGAUACAGCACAACAAGUGAAUAGAUAAAAAUAAUUAAGCAAAGGGGAAGCAUUAUCCAUCACAUCCACAACAUUCCAAAGUUGAAUACUACUCAACACAUAAACUCGUAAGGCUGCUUCCGUAUACUGAUACUAUAUUAUGCAGGUAUGGUUAUUACUGAAAGAAGAAGAAGAAAUCCAUGGUUUAUCCGUGCUCCAUGAAUCGAACUUGAUUAAUCAUCUGAGACUGAAGUAGUAUGAUUGUCAAGUUUUCCGUUGUAUAUAUACAUAGCCAGCAUUCAUAUGAAAGAGAAUAAUAGCUAGCCGUGUGUUUUUCAGAGGAUAAAGACUGGCAAGCAAGUCAGCAUCUCAAUCAUUACUUUCCUUUCCUUUAUUGGUCUGUAACUACGAGUAGUACUCCUACCUACUCCAGGAGGGAAAAUCGUUGCCGUACGUACCUAGAGCGAUCCAAAAUUCAAAGUAGAGUACAGCAUAUGAACCGUGACACUACACAUGGAUGUAUGUUUGUGGUUGAGAGCAUGUGUGUACCUCUGGAAAGCACCGAAAUGCUCCCCCAAAACUCUCUCCAGCCUCUCCAUGAUGGAACUCGCCACGUCGCGCUGCGCCUGUCGCGCCCCACGAAAAACAAUUGAAACAGUCCCGCCGGACCUGUCAGCCAUCGCCGGCCACGAAAGACGAAACCAAACGCGCGGCGAGGAGGAGGAAAUGCGGGGGAGAGGGGAACCGCGAUGAAUCGGCCUCACCUGGCGAAGCAUCCGCGCCAUCUGGCCGAUGGUGACCACCCUCGCCUUCCCCUCGUCCCUGCGGCGGCCGGGGCCGCGGAUCCGCGCGAAGCAGACGAUAGCGAGGGGUCAGUCUCGAAUCGUGGAAGCAAUGGAGAGAGAAGAGAAGAAGCGGCGGCUGACGCCGGCGCAGGAGGCCGGAAGGUACUCACAGCCACAUGACGAGGAGCCCCGCCCGCCGCAGCCGCUUCCUCGGGGAACACACCGCCUCCGGCUCCCGCUCCUGCUCCGGCUCCGGCGCGACGGCGCCGAGCGGCCGCUUGUUGUGCGCGCGCGCCGCCAUCACGCGCUUCGGGCGGGGUCGACGUCCCUCGGGUGGAGCGCGGCGGCGGUGAGCUAGCCGGGGCGGGGCGGAUGGGGAAGAAUGGUGAUGCCGCUGCCGUCGCCGUUGCCGUUGCCGUUGCCGUGAUGGGGAUUGGGGGGUUUGGGUUGAGCACUCGAGCUUGGAGCUUGCCGCUUGUCUUGUCUGCUGACGCGUGCACUGCGCUUAGAAAUAGGAGAGUUGGAGGGAGGAGGCCAAGGCGAGAUGGAGAAGCUGCGUCAUGUUAGCCGUCACGCACUCCCCCAGCGGCGGGAGGGGAAGACCGACCAUGGCGCUGGCGCGUAGAGUGCGACGUCAGGGGUGGGAGCUACGCGCCGUGCUGGGCUCGGGCCGGGGUGGUGGUGGCCCGCAGGUCUCUCGGGCUUGCCGCGCCACGGCCGGGCGGCUGCGCACUCCUCAUGUCGUCACCCCCGUACAACAUGUUCGACGAAAUUGGCCUAUAUAAAAAAAAAACAAGUUUUCAUUUUUGGUUCGUUCGGCGUCCAUUCUUUCUGGUUUAGCUGAUGAUGACAGUGACACCUGUCCCUCACAGCAGCUCGUCGUCACUUUCAACUUGCAAGCACAAGUCGUCAAUGGUUGACAUCCGGACGACCUCUUCUCUAACCUUGUGACAACACGAAUAGUAUCAUUCUGUACAAACCACAAACCGGCCUGUGCUCAAGUCCUUCCAUUCCUUCGUCGUCACCGCCGGAGCAUGGCGUCCAAGCGUGCUCGGCGACGACCGUCGGCAGUCGCUGAGCUAUAGGGGAAUGAUUGGGAUUCGGCCACCUACUGUUGCAAGGGAAGUAGUGAUAAUUCUAUGAAGAGUUUCUACGGUCGGCCCAUCCUAGCUCACUGGCCUAGCUCCACUACUGUCUAUCGUCGGCCAGUGGGUUGUAUCUUCCAUCCUUCCACACACGCGGAUUAAACCGUGAACGCAGAUGUGGGGUGCUUUCUACCUGGAGGCGUCGACCUAGAGCCGGUGUCUGAUGUCGAGCUAGGAGUGAAAGAAGGUGCCUUCCCCUCUUCCCACCGUGAUUGGGUUGCCAUGACGUGAAUGGUUGGCGGUGUAUAGGGGCAUGGAUGCCGGGGUGAUGGUCCCGGAAGAUGGCCUUCACGGUUGGCUAUCCGAUAGGCUCCAUGAGGGUGGUGGUACCUCCACCUCUUGUAGUGGCGUAGUCAGCCUGAUGUAUCAGGGUGGCCCGGUUAUAAAAAUAUUACAAUUUUUUAUUUAUUUAACAGAAAUAAUGUUUUACUACAUUAUGCACAAUCUAUACGAGAAUUCCAGGAUGAUCCAUGGACCAUCUUGUCCACCCCCUAGCUACGUCACUGACCUCUUAGUCGUGUGAGCGGCAAGGGGUGUAGUGACGGGAGGCAAUGUGGUUUUCUCUAUCAAUGUACAAGUCUGCUAUAGAUGGGCCAACCCUCGUUGUGGCGGUGAUCGAGGCCCCCUCCUGGUGGUGUAGGCAAGUGUCCAAGUGAAAGCUUUGCCCCUCUGGCGUGCCCCUUGCUUCCUGAAGACGCCAUCGUGACUCUCGCCUCUGUGCCAAACCUUUCUCCGGCUGCUCGGACUCCAUAGCGGCGACACUUCGCACCGUCACCCUGG